UUUGAUCCUGGCUCAGGAUGAACGCUGGCGGCGUGCUUAACACAUGCAAGUCGAACGAUGAUCCCAGCUUGCUGGGGGAUUAGUGGCGAACGGGUGAGUAACACGUGAGUAACCUGCCCUUGACUCUGGGAUAAGCCUGGGAAACUGGGUCUAAUACCGGAUAUGACUCCUCAUCGCAUGGUGGGGGGUGGAAAGCUUUUGUGGUUUUGGAUGGACUCGCGGCCUAUCAGCUUGUUGGUGGGGUAAUGGCCUACCAAGGCGACGACGGGUAGCCGGCCUGAGAGGGUGACCGGCCACACUGGGACUGAGACACGGCCCAGACUCCUACGGGAGGCAGCAGUGGGGAAUAUUGCACAAUGGGCGCAAGCCUGAUGCAGCGACGCCGCGUGAGGGAUGACGGCCUUCGGGUUGUAAACCUCUUUCAGU
rnacentral:rRNA from 1 species